ACCUGGAUGGCUCAGUCGGUAGAGCAUGGGACUCUUAAUCUCGGGGUUGUGGGUUUGAGCCCCAUGUUGGGUG
rnacentral:tRNA from 1 species